UACAGAGGGUGCAAGCGUUAAUCGGAAUUACUGGGCGUAAAGCGUGCGCAGACGGUUGCGUAAGUCAGAUGUGAAAGCCCCGGGCUCAACCUGGGAAUUGCAUUUGAGACUGCGUAGCUAGGGUGCGGAAGAGGGAAGCGGAAUUUCCGGUGUAGCGGUGAGAUGCGUAGAUAUCGGAAGGAACACCAGUGGCGAAAGCGGCUUCCUGGUCCAGCACCGACGUUCAGGCACGAAAGCGUGGGGAGCAAACAGG
rnacentral:rRNA from 1 species